rnacentral:rRNA from 1 species
CCUACGGGUGGCAGCAGUGAGGAAUAUUGGUCAAUGGCCGGAAGGCUGAACCAGCCAAGCCGCGUGAAGGACGAAGGUGCCAAGCAUUGUAAACUUCUUUUGUCAAGGGACAAAAUCAGGUACGCGAGCCUGACCGAGGGUACUUGCAGAAAAAGCAUCGGCUAACCACGUGCCAGCAGCCGCGGUAAUACGGAGGAUGCGAUCGUUAUCCGGAUUUAUUGGGUUAAAGGGGUGCGUAGGCGGGCUGUUAAGUCAGCGGUAACAGCCCGGGGCUGAACCCCGGCGAGCCGUUGAAACUGGCUGUCUGGAGUUGUCGAGAGGUAUGCGGAAUGCGCGGUGUAGCGGUGAAAUGCUUAGAGAUUGCGCAGAACUCCGAUUGCGAAGGCAGCAUACCGGCGGCGAUCUGACGCUGAGGCACGAAAGCGUGGGUAUCGAACAGGAUUAGAUACCCUUGUAGUC